rnacentral:rRNA from 1 species
AUUGAACGCUGGCGGCAGGCUUAACACAUGCAAGUCGAACGAGUGGCGGACGGGUGAGUAAUGUCUGGGAAACUGCCUGCUGGAGGGGGAUAACUACUGGAAACGGUAGCUAAUACCGCAUACCAUCGGAUGUUCCCAGAUGGGAUUAGCUAGUAGGUGGGGUAAAGGCUCACCUAGGCGACGAUCCCUAGCUGGUCUGAGAGGAUGACCAGCCACACUGGAACUGAGACAAGGUCCAGACGGCGACGGGAGGCAGCAGUGGGGAAUAUUGCACAAUGGGCGCAAGCCUGAUGCAGCCAUGCCGCGUGUAUGAAGAAGGCCUUCGGGUUGUAAAGUACUUUCAGCGGGGAGGCGUUACCCGCAGAAGAAGCACCGGCUAACUCCGUGCCAGCCGCCGCGGUAAUAC